rnacentral:rRNA from 1 species
UUGGGGUCCACUUCGGUGGCGCGCACACAGGUGCUGCAUGGCUGUCGUCAGCUCGUGUCGUGAGAUGUUGGGUUAAGUCCCGCAACGAGCGCAACCCACGUCCUUAGUUGCCAUCAUUCAGUUGGGCACUCUAGGGAGACUGCCGGUGAUAAGCCGCGAGGAAGGUGUGGAUGACGUCAAGUCCUCAUGGCCCUUACGGGAUGGGCUACACACGUGCUACAAUGGCGGUGACAGUGGGACGCGAAGGAGCGAUCUGGAGCAAAUCCCCAAAAGCCGUCUCAGUUCGGAUUGCACUCUGCAACUUGGGUGCAUGAAGGCGG